rnacentral:rRNA from 1 species
UACGAAGGGGGCUAGCGUUGCUCGGAAUUACUGGGCGUAAAGCGCGCGUAGGUGGCUGAUUAAGUCGGAUGUGAAAUCCCCGGGCUUAACCUGGGAACUGCAUUCGAUACUGAUCAGCUAGAGUAUGAGAGAGGGAGGUAGAAUUCCACGUGUAGCGGUGAAAUGCGUAGAUAUGUGGAGGAAUACCGGUGGCGAAGGCGGCCUCCUGGCUUAAUACUGACACUGAGGUGCGAAAGCGUGGGGGAGCAAACAGG